CUUAAACCUCAAAUUGAAGAAGAACCAAAACGCUUCACGUACCCAACUGCUUAUACACGCACCACUUCGAAAAAAACAUUCUAUAAAUUUUCAACCCCGUUUUCCCUGUUCAACUUCCCACAGACUUCUAACUUUGUUAUUUUAUUUCUAUAAACUCAACUUAUUUGCCUUCUUUGUCUAUUUCUUCUUUCUCUAUGCUUACACAAAUUCCGUUUCCUUUGACGCCAAUGAAGACAUCCGAAGAACACCAUCACCCGACCACUGUUUCAGGUAUUCACUCCAUAAUUGUCGGACUGUAAUUCGUUCAAGGACAAUGUCUUUAAAUGCAGAUUAUAUUUGUACUGCUUAACUCUUUUGUGUUUCGAUAGAUUAGUAUCAUUAAAUAUAGUAUUGCAAUAUUACCACUAUUAUACUUUUCCUGCUCUACCUUCUUAUGUUAUGCUUGAAGAUCAAUACAUGCAUUUAACACAUGAGUUGUAGAAAAGGAAAUAGGUGAAAGAAAGGAAAUGUAAGAAGUAAAAUCAUUCUCUGGGUAACUACAUCCCUAUGAGACUAUUUUAAGGAGUCUGCUCCUUAAUCAAUUCAUUUAUCAGACUGUGAAUUAAGUAUAUUUGUCUUUUGUCAUUUUAAUUGAGGAAUUAAAUACGUGCAUUCGACACUGCAUAUGACCUUUCACUGUUUUGGGGAAGUAGCUUGAAACUGGUUUGAGGCGAACUAAUAUAUAUACACAUCACCACUGUAUACUUCAAAUCAUUGCAAAGCCUGUUUGAGCUGCCUGAUGACUUCUUCUAUUGCAGGCGUUUAUAUUGGUUUUUUCCGACCUUGCACUCCAGUCGUUAGAGCCAAUAUGUCCGAGAAUGUUGAUUUCGGUGAAAUUUUUUCCUGCUGUUUUUCUUCUUCGGAUUUUACAUUGUUUAUCCUGAGAUUGAAAUUUAUGUAUUAACAAAAAAGUGUGAAAAAAGAAGCAAAAAUGAAAAUAACAUCUGAAAUUGGUGUUUGCAACAUAUAUAAGUUUUAUAAUUAUAUUGAAGUAUGCUUAGUAUGUUAAAAGUGACAUAAUUUUUUUUGUUUCCAUUGUGUUUAUACUUGCCUGUAACCUGAGGUAUAUGGAGAUUCUUGGUCAAACUCCAUGUUGAAAUUGUACUUAUAUGGUCGUCGCACAAAGGAACAAGCAAAGUGAAAGAAAAGAGAGGACGAACACUCUUCCCACUUUCCUUCUCCGAGGGAAAAAAUAUAUUGUGCCCAACUCUAAUUGAUAUUGUUCUUUAUUCAUGAAACUUAUAUAAUUAUUUGAAUCUAAGAGAUAUAUUUCUACGUCUCAUAUUCUUGAUUUUUCUUCAUCUUUAGGUUGAUAUGUAGCAAUAAAGUUUGUAUCUUUUGGUCAUUUUAUUGUCCAUUUUGUAAGAUUUACUUAAUCUUGAAUGUGUUCACUUAAUAAAACUUUCAUCUAACAUUUAUGCAUGGAUAAAAUGUCCAGUCAAUUUUUCAUGGACACAUAACGAGAUAACGAUGUUGCUUUUUUCAUUUGGAUAUGUAAUGAGGUAAAAUGUUACCUUUCUCACACGGAUACAUAGUGAAGCAAAGAUGGUGCCUUUCUCAUUUCAGAUUGAGAUGGGAACUCUUGAAAUGGAUUGGAGUAAUAUUUGAACAUUUUGAAUAUUCAUUUUCAGUAAAAGAGCAGACACUUGGACGUUUAUCUUUGUUAGCACUUUUUUUUCUCGGAAUUUGUUUUGUUGGAUUUUGGAUUAUGCUAGUAGACUUUAUUUUGUAGAUACCAUGAGAACGGCGGGCUAUUCUGAUAUCAUUGUUUUAAUAGACGUCGAAAGGUGGUGGUGCUAGCAGCAAGUAUUCCAGUUGUUUAUACAAGAGAUGAUCCUGGAUAACGUCGUGGUUAUAUGUUGUGACAAAUUAAAACUUAAUUAAUCAUCUCAUCAUUUUUUCAUCAUUCGCUUACAACUUAGAUAUCAUGAGUUUUUAUCGAAGUAGCAUCACAAAUGUUAUUUAUUAUAUAUUUUUUGUCCUUUUUUUGCCUUUUUCACUCUAUAUUUUGCCCCUUUAAAGAUUUUUGGUUCUUUUGUUUUCCUUUUAACCUUCUUAAAGUCUUCCACAUAGUGAUUGUCAAAACUUUAAACUGAAAGAGGCAAUUAAGUAUUUUGGUCUUUUGCUCAACUAUAUUUUAUUUUUAAUUCUUUUCAGUUUUUGGUGUGUGUCCGAUGCCUCUUCAUUUUUAUUAGCCUAUUUUCUGUCCAUCCUACAUCCUUUUGUUUUCUUCUUUGUUUUCUUCUCAGUGUGUAUUUUGAUGGAAUCAUAAGAUAUUGAAUUUUGUGAGAUAAACUUUGAGAUGUAUUUACAUUGGGAGCAUAUUAUUUAUCUAUGCGAAUGGUAAUUCUUAUAUGUUCUUGAAUAUGGUAUGAUCAGUAAGUGCUCCGCUUCAGUUGGAAUUAGUGUAAGUAUGAUGUAGUCCUUUUAGUUUUUGUUGUUCAAUUAGUUUUGAUUGUUAUUUAACUAUUUCAUGAGCAUUAGAACUAGUAUCGAUUUUUUUUUUCAAAACGACUAUUUCCUAUUGUUGUUUUAGAUUUAUUGGAGAAACUUUGCUGUUGUUAUUUAUAGAAAUACAGAAGGACCAAGUUUUAAGUAUGGCGAGCAUUUGGCAUCAAACACGUAAGUUAUGCAUCUAAACCUUUUUAUAUGUGCUUAUGUGACAUAAGUUUCCUUCUUCUUUUUUUCCCUGAAAUAUUUGAACACUUCUAUAAAAUGGAAAUAUUCAUGCAUCAUUAUGGAUCUGUUUUAGAAUUUCUGCUCUUCCACUAUCUUGAUUCGUUGAGUUUAGUUUCUGCAUAUGUAUUAUGCUUAUAGGUUUAUGACUUUGCUCUUCCUAAUUCUCAUUAUAGUGUUGUUACUAUCUGUAGCACCAUUAUGAAAACAUAUUUUCUUACUAGCUUCUAAGAAUUUUUAGUGGUGACAGACUUCAUUUUCUCAGUGGUCUCUACAAUUGUCUCUCUUCCUGUGCUCGGUAAAUUACUACUAUUAUGUUAAGGCUAAGAUGUCAAGGUUCUUCCUUCCCAAUUUCUACUUUAGAUGUGUAGAGAAUAUUAAAUUUUAUCUUGGCUUAGGAAUUUUUUACAGUGAGUAUAUAUACACGUUUUAUUUAAACCAUUUCUCCCAUAUUUAAUCUAUUGAUUGUGUGAAUUCUAGCGAAAUGUCAUGGCAUUUUGUCUUGAUAAUAUAUUACUAUAUACCAACCAUGUCAUUUUGGUCAUUCAAAUUUAGGUGCUAUUGGAAUUUCGGACUCAAAUCUGUUUGUGAGGAGGGUUUAUAGAAGCAUCAAAUGCAACUAUCUUUUGAUGGAGAAGAUAAAAGCAUGACUCUGCUGGUCCAUUUGGGUGAUAUUGGAGGUGAGGCCAAGAAAAAUCUCAUGAACCAAUUAUCAUUGUGGGUGUCCAAUGGGUUUAAUUAUGGUAGCCACUUCUGCUCGAAUUUUGGGAAGCCCUGAAUUUCUUUUUUGUCUGUGAAGAAGAUCAUUUAUUUCCUUUAUACUUAUAUUAGAAUGAAAGAGAAUUUAAAUGAUUUAAUGCUAGCUUAAUAAGAGUUUCAAAUGUAAUGUGGUUACCCUCCAAUACUAGAGAAUGAGGUGCCUUGAGAUGAAGUUGCUGGUGCCACAUGCUUGAUUUGUGUUGUGUAAAUCUUUAUUGUUAUAAAUGUUAUGACUAUAAAUUUUAUUAUUAAUAAAGUUCUGAGACAUGCUCAUUUCUGCUUAUGGUUCUUGCUUAA
rnacentral:lncRNA from 1 species